GACCUCUGUGGCUCAAUUGGUUGAAUGUGUGGCACUGGCAGCUCAAGUCGGGCGUCGCGGGUUCGAAUCCCGCCUGUCGGAACACAAGUUUUUGAAU